rnacentral:rRNA from 1 species
GACAGAGGUGGCAAGCGUUGUUCGGAAUCACUGGGCUUAAAGGGCGCGUAGGUGGUAGUGCAAGUCUGAGGUGGAAUCCCAGGGCUUAACCCUGGAACUGCCUUGGAAACUGUAUUACUUGAGUCAGUGAGGGGAGGGUAGAAUUCCUGGUGUAGCGGUGAAAUGCGUAGAUAUCAGGAGGAAGGCCGGUGGCGAAGGCGGCCCUCUGGCGCUGAACUGACACUGAGGCGCGAAAGCCAGGGGAGCAAACGGG